GUGUCCGGGAAUUAAUAAAGCUCGAGGAGUGGGGCUGCGGCUCCUCUGUGGACUGUGUGUGGUAUCACUGCUUAGAUCAACAACUGCCUGUCAGGGCCGGAAAUACCCGUGGAGCAGAGGGCCUUUGAGUCCCGGGGAAAGACACCGUGGGCUGCACCUGAAGCUGCAUGUUUGUCUGGAGUUACAUGAGUUUAAAUAGAAGGAUUUUUCUACCAGAAAAUAACGAUGACGCAGACCUUGGUUACCCCAUUUCAGAGGAGGUUUUAAAGAGUGAUCUGGAAAACUUUUUUUUCCUUUUUUUCACUCAUCAUCAUGUCACACAGUUUCUAAAGACCUGAUCUCAACUAUCCUCUCAGCACAGGCUAUAAUUUUUUUGCUAAGAAGAUCCUUUUCUGUCAUUCUCUUCAAUGUUUCUCUUCCUGGAUGACGGGGAGGAUUCCUUCAAAAGGAUUUCUGAGACUGGUGUUUCCCAAACAACAGAGAACAUCAUACCCCUAGAAAUGGAGGACCAAGUGGCUUUUGUGAUAAGCAAGACCUCACUUGCACUUUGCAGACACUCCCAGCAGAGGAAAAAUACCAAACAGAAAGGGAAAGUGGUCAUGGAACAGAUUCUGCUCCCAAGAAAUCGGGGAAUAAAUGGCCAGGGAUGAGUUUCAUAAGACCUGAAUUAUACAAUUCAGAGAACAAAAUUCAUAAAUUUAUAUAGUUGUUUACCGACAAUUUCAUUCGAUCUGCUUAAGUUAGCUACCCCAUAGUUCACCUAGAACUGUUUCCUAGUUCCCUCACCUAUUGGUGCAUAAAAGCUGCUUUCACACAUGUCUCCAGUUUCCAACCUACAUAUCAGCCAGUGAUUUGCAUAAUCCUUAAACCCCCACCCCCAUUCCUUUUUUCAGCCACCUAAUGCAAACAAGAUCUGGCUCAGGCUUCCCUAAACUAAUCCACGGAACACCAUUUAGAAGAGAGACUAUUCCGUGUAAGUUGGCACGGCCGAAUGAGAUCUCUAUUGUAUAAGGGGCAGUCCUAGUAGAAAGACAUUAAUGAAUAUGCCAGUGGGGAGAGCCUCAGCUUCCCAGUUGCUUGCUGGACCCUAAAGCUGUAAGAACUUUGUGAAACUUGAAUGUUUCUUUUUUUAACCAAGGUAAGGAAUUUAAUGCCACUGCCCUGUCUGAAUCCUUACAGCUCAUCAAGACCCAAGUCAUAAACAACAACUUCAGGAAGAAUGAAGCCUAGCCUGAGCCUCCCUCCAAAUUCUCCUUUUCCCCACUCACUGCUUCACACUUGAACUAACCAGUCUGUCCUCUAAACUCGAGUAUGCUUUUUUGGUAAUAUUUUAUGACCCCUACCUUGCCCAUAAAAAUGUAAGUUCUUUAGAGGCUGAGACUGUGUUUAAGCAUCUUUGCAAAAACCUGCAGCUUGUUAGCACAAAUAAUAAAUGCUUCUUGAAUAAAUACAUAUGUUUUUAAAAAUAACUUGUUAUUUUAAAACAAUUAUUUAAUGCUGUUUUUCCCUAGCGUCUCCAGGUUUCAGCUCACUCUUUGUAUUCGCCCUCCAAAACCCCUCCCCUCUCACCUUUCAGAUCUGCUGAGACCAGCGCUACUGAAUAGACAUGAUGGAAAUGUUCCUUAUCUAUGCGGGCCCAUACGCUAGCCUCUGACUUCAUGUAGUUAUUGAGUGCUUGAAAUGUGGAUAGUGGAACUCAUAACUGAUUUUUAAAUUUUAUUUUAUCUUCAUGUAUUUAAAACUUACCUAGCCACAUGUAGCCACUAGGCUACUGUAUUGAAGAGCACAGGACCUUGACUCAUCUGAGAAGUCCUGCUGAAGAACCACUCUAGACACCUCCCAGCCAUCAGUAUGAAGGUAGAUUAGGUGCUUACCUUGUACUUGACUUUAUCAUAAUAUUUAUCACAACAUACUUAGUUUUCUAUUUAUUUACCUGAUUUUUUUAUUGGACUGUAAGUUCUUGAGUCUUAAGUUAUAGCUUAUUUACCAUUGUAUCUCUGAGAACCAAGUGUAAUACUGGUAUUUUAAAAGUGCUCAAUAAAUAUUUUGGGAGGAAAAGGAUGAAUGAAUGAACUGAUUUCUCAGUGGACUGCUAGAGGCAUUUUUUAAUAUAUAAGAAAUCUACAAAACAGACCUGUUGGAACAGUGAGCUAGGAACUAAGAGAUGAAUGGUGGUGAUGUGAUGACAAAUUAUCUUUGUCUAAGGAGCAUAUGCAGUUCUUUAGCUUAUCUUUCCUCACAAGCUCAGGCCCUGUCUUCUGCUUCACUGGAACACAGGAACAACUCACUUGUAGACUCUCUGGUCAUUAAGCCAUGACUUUGUCCAGACUUGCCCUUUAAGAAAAUUCCCAGGAGAUAAAGUUCACUGCAAUGAUGGAGUGAGAUAAACAUGGUUUUUGCUGUGAUCCCAUGUUCUCACAUACCCCAUACUGGUCUACCGAACAGCUGAACUCAUUCAUCAGAUUUGAAAAUAAUCAGGUUUUUUUACACUCUGUUAUCAUGGGUACGGUUGUUCCAGAGGGUGUGUUGGCAGAGAGCCUCCUGAACCAUGUCCCGGAGACCGAACCACAUCCAUCCAAGGGCCUGGGUAGUUCUUGCUCCUUUGCUAGCAUUUAUUCCAAGUACACUUGCAAAGCAUAAGGGAAACUCUUUCGCAAACCAAAAAUUAUCCUAGGUGUUUAGGAAAAAAUAAUGCCAAAAGUUGGCAUGGCACAAUUCAUGUCAUUUUAGGGUACCUAGAUAAUUAAGUCUCAGGGCUAGACGUAUUCCAAAUAUUUGGAUAAUUCAAAGUAAUUUGCACAGACAUAGUAAAAAUCUAUUUUAGGUGGUGGAAUUUAAUAUAUAUUUCUUGGUGAGCCUUUAGUCUUCUGUGCAAUUUUAGCCCUAAUAUUUUAACAUUAAAAGGUUGAAUGUUAUAAAGUGUACUUAUAAGCUUGUGAACUAACAAACCAUAAAACAAUAACAUGUGUUUAAAAUUUGAAAAUAUACUGCACUGAGCUCUGUUUUCUAAAAUAAACUUUGAACUAUUU